GGAAGAAAUGGGGGGGGAGAAGUGGGGUGAGACGACAGUGAAAUCUAGAGUAAAACCAAGCUGGCCCAAGGUGUCCUGCAGGCUGUAAUGCAGUUUAAUCAGAGUGCCAUAUUUUUUUGUUGUUGUUCAAAUGAUUUUAGUUAUUGGAAUGCACAAUUAUUUAAAUAUGCAAAUAAAAAGUUUAAAAACUUUUAAAAAACAAACAAAUAAACAAACAAAGGAGCACAGGCUGGACACUUGAGGUCAGGAGCUCACAACCAGCCUGGGCAAUGUAGACCCUUUCUCUAUGUGUAUGUUUAACAUGUAAGAAAGACAAUAAAGAGGGCUGUGCACUGUGGCUCCUGCCUAUAAUCCCAGCACUUUGGGAGGCGGAGGUGGGUAGAGCACUUGAGCUCAGGAAUUUGAGAUCAGCCUGGGCAACAUGGUAAAACCCCAUCUCUG